CGCUCGGUGCGCAAGCGGCGUUGUUGCGCGCGCUCGAGUCGCGCGAGAUCCGGCGCGUGGGUGGUUCGGCGUCGAUCCCGGUCGAC
rnacentral:tRNA from 1 species